rnacentral:lncRNA from 1 species
GUAGAAGGAGCAGGAGCUAGAGCCUUAGGCUUAGAGAAGUCCAAUGGAAUAAGCACCUUAUCAACAUGAUAUAUAGCAAGUGUCUUAUCAGAGUAAACAAUCCCUGUGAGUGUAGCAUUAACCGGCCCAGUUGAUAUAUUAACAUUGUUUCCAUAAGCAGUCACAUUCAUAUGAUAACCAGAAGGGCUAUCACUGGCAAGUGUCAGCACCGGGUUGCUAAGCGAAUCAAAAUUUGAGCUGGAGACGUAAACAGGAAGAACAUGAAACUGUAUCAAUUCUUUCUGUUGGCGUUCACCGAGGGAGUUGAAGUAUCCGGCUUUCAGCUGCAAAAAGGCACCGUCAUCAGGUGCAAGGAUGGUUAAACCACCGUUUUUUGUUGUCACCAGCUGUGAGUUAAUUUGGUUGAUGAUUUGUGUGGUUUUGAGCAAACGGAUUAACGUGUUGAAUGAUUUCGCUUUACGUAGAAUUUUGAUGAUGUCUUGACCGGACGAAGAAUCGGAUGAGGGCGAUUGAGGUAAUGAAGGGACUAAUGGUUUUGCUGGUGCUGUUGCAGGAGCUGGUGUGGCGGGAGCAGGUUUUUCCGGGGCUUUAGGUGCUGCAGCAGGUGAUUGAGCUAAAGUUGUGGUAAAAAAGAUAUGACCUAAUAGUACUAAGAGUGUGAAGAAGAGAAUUUGCUUCAUCUUACUAGAUAGUUUAUCUGUUUGUGGAAAGAUACAAAUGAUAGGUAUGAUUUUUUUGCUAUGAGUGUUUGAUGUGUAGUUUAGGACACUUUGAGAUUACUACUUAAUAGUACUUAACUGGUGUCCUUUUGU